UGGCUACCAUCUUGUAACAUUUUAGCGUU
rnacentral:piRNA from 1 species